rnacentral:tRNA from 1 species
GGGGUUGUAGCUCAGUGGUGGAGUGCUCACCUCAUAUGUGUGAGGCCCUGUGUUCAAUCCUCAAUACCACA